GAUGAACGCUAGCUACAGGCUUAACACAUGCAAGUCGAGGGGCAGCACUAGGUAGCAAUACUGAGGUGGCGACCGGCGCACGGGUGCGUAACGCGUAUCCAACCUUCCCGUUACUCUUGGAUAGCCUUCCGAAGGGGAGAUUAAUACAAGAUGGUAUUCAAAUUCCGCAUGUUAUUUGAAUUAUAGAUUUAUCGGUAUCGGAUGGGGAUGCGUGACAUUAGAUAGUAGGCGGGGUAACGGCCCACCUAGGCUACGAUGUCUAGGGGUUCUGAGGGGAAGGUCCCCCACACUGGAACUGAGACACGGUCCAGACUCCUACGGGAGGCAGCAGUGAGGAAUAUUGGUCAAUGGUCGGAAGACUAAACCAGCCAAGUAGCGUGAAGGAUGAAGGUUCUAUGGAUUGUAAACUUCUUUUAUACGGGAAUAAAACCUCCCACGUGUGGGAGCUUGUAUGUACCGUAUGAAUAAGCAUCGGCUAACUCCGUGCCAGCCGCCGCCGUAACAC
rnacentral:rRNA from 1 species